AUAAGAGCCUGGAGCCAAGGACUUCUCUGCAUGCCCACCCAGUUUUGGUUUUCGCCACAGCAUAUGCCUGCCCCUGUGCCUGGUGUUUGCUUGUUCUCGGUUUCUGCCCUGGAGUGGAGCUCUGGGGGAAGCAGGCAUCGUCUGUUCAGCUCCCGCCUGCAUCCAGAUCGCACCCCGACACAGCAACACAGCAUGGGCCCACAGCAUUCUCUUCCUCGUGGGUAACAAGCACACUGAAGACAGAUGUCCCAACACUGGAGCAUCACUUGUGACAGCCACAAUAUGGGAACAGCCCCGUCCAUCACCUGAUGAGGGAAGGACAACACUGUCCAUCUGCACAAGGGAUCACGACUCAAACAAGGGGAGAAAGGAAAUGAAAGUCUUGACUCCUGCUAGAGUGUGGACGGCCCUUGAGAAAGAAGCCAGACGCAGAGGACCACGUGUGCUGUGAUCCCGUUUGUGUGAUAUGCCCAGAACAGACAAGUGUGUCGAGGUGGAAAGUAGGUCUGUGUUUUCCAGGGGAGUGACGGCUAAUGGGGAUGCGAUUUCUUUUAGAGGAAAAAGAAGAAGGAAAAAGAACUCCACUCAGGAGUCCCCCUCGCAAUUUACUUUUAUUUCUCCAAAAGUUGUUUCCGUGUCUGACUCCCGCCGAGAGAUGACCAAGCCUUCUGGCCUUUUCC